rnacentral:snRNA from 1 species
ACACUUACCUGGCAGGGGAGAUACCAUGAUCACGAAGGUGAUUUUCCCAGGGCGAGGCUGAGCCAUUGCCCUCCGGAUGUGCUGACCCCUGCGAUUUCCCCAAAUGUGGGAAACUCGACUGCGUAAUUUGUGGUAGUGGGGGACUGCGUUUGCGCUCUCCCCUG